UGUUUCGGCUAGGGGGCCAUCCCGGCUUACCAACCCGAUGCAAACUGCGAAUACCGGAGAAUGUUAUCACGGGAGACACACGGCGGGUGCUAACGUCCGUCGUGAAGAGGGAAACAACCCAGACCGCCAGCUAAGGUCCCAAAGUCAUGGUUAAGUGGGAAACGAUGUGGGAAGGCCCAGACAGCCAGGAUGUUGGCUUAGAAGCAGCCAUCAUUUAAAGAAAGCGUAAUAGCUCACUGGUCGAGUCGGCCUGCGCGGAAGAUGUAACGGGGCUAAACCAUGCACCGAAGCUGCGGCAGCGAACGUAUCACUUAAAGCGAUUCAGCGGAUGACGAUUGACGGAGCGAAGCGACGUCAAAGCGUAUACAAAGUCGAGUCGGUUUAAGGAUACGUUCGUUGGGUAGGGGAGCGUUCUGUAAGCCUGUGAAGGUGGCCUGUGAGGGUUGCUGGAGGUAUCAGAAGUGCGAAUGCUGACAUAAGUAACGAUAAAGCGGGUGAAAAGCCCGCUCGCCGGAAGACCAAGGGUUCCUGUCCAACGUUAAUCGGGGCAGGGUGAGUCGACCCCUAAGGCGAGGCCGAAAGGCGUAGUCGAUGGGAAACGGGUUAAUAUUCCCGUACUUGGUGUUACUGCGAAGGGGGGACGGAGAAGGCUAUGUUGGCCGGGCGACGGUUGUCCCGGUUUAAGCGUGUAGGUGUGUGUUCCAGGUAAAUCCGGUUCACUUUAACACUGAGGCGUGAUGACGAGGCACUACGGUGCUGAAGCAACAAAUGCCCUGCUUCCAGGAAAAGCCUCUAAGCAUCAGGUAACAUCAAAUCGUACCCCAAACCGACACAGGUGGUCAGGUAGAGAAUACCAAGGCGCUUGAGAGAACUCGGGUGAAGGAACUAGGCAAAAUGGUGCCGUAACUUCGGGAGAAGGCACGCUGACACGUAGGUGAAGUGAUUUACUCAUGGAGCUGAAGUCAGUCGAAGAUACCAGCUGGCUGCAACUGUUUAUUAAAAACACAGCACUGUGCAAACACGAAAGUGGACGUAUACGGUGUGACGCCUGCCCGGUGCCGGAAGGUUAAUUGAUGGGGUCAGCGCAAGCGAAGCUCCUGAUCGAAGCCCCGGUAAACGGCGGCCGUAACUAUAACGGUCCUAAGGUAGCGAAAUUCCUUGUCGGGUAAGUUCCGACCUGCACGAAUGGCGUAAUGAUGGCCAGGCUGUCUCCACCCGAGACUCAGUGAAAUUGAACUCGCUGUGAAGAUGCAGUGUACCCGCGGCAAGACGGAAAGACCCCGUGAACCUUUACUAUAGCUUGACACUGAACAUUGAGCCUUGAUGUGUAGGAUAGGUGGGAGGCUUUGAAGUGUGGACGCCAGUCUGCAUGGAGCCGACCUUGAAAUACCACCCUUUAAUGUUUGAUGUUCUAACGUGGACCCGUAAUCCGGGUUGCGGACAGUGUCUGGUGGGUAGUUUGACUGGGGCGGUCUCCUCCUAAAGAGUAACGGAGGAGCACGAAGGUUGGCUAAUCCUGGUCGGACAUCAGGAGGUUAGUGCAAUGGCAUAAGCCAGCUUGACUGCGAGCGUGACGGCGCGAGCAGGUGCGAAAGCAGGUCAUAGUGAUCCGGUGGUUCUGAAUGGAAGGGCCAUCGCUCAACGGAUAAAAGGUACUCCGGGGAUAACAGGCUGAUACCGCCCAAGAGUUCAUAUCGACGGCGGUGUUUGGCACCUCGAUGUCGGCUCAUCACAUCCUGGGGCUGAAGUAGGUCCCAAGGGUAUGGCUGUUCGCCAUUUAAAGUGGUACGCGAGCUGGGUUUAGAACGUCGUGAGACAGUUCGGUCCCUAUCUGCCGUGGGCGCUGGAGAACUGAGGGGGGCUGCUCCUAGUACGAGAGGACCGGAGUGGACGCAUCACUGGUGUUCGGGUUGUCAUGCCAAUGGCACUGCCCGGUAGCUAAAUGCGGAAGAGAUAAGUGCUGAAAGCAUCUAAGCACGAAACUUGCCCCGAGAUGAGUUCUCCCUGAGACUUAGAGUCUCCUGAAGGAACGUUGAAGACGACGACGUUGAUA
rnacentral:rRNA from 1 species